rnacentral:rRNA from 1 species
GGUAAACGCUGGCGGCGUGCCUAAACAUGCAAGUCGAACGGUGUCCUCGGGCGACAGUGGCAGACGGCUGAGUAACGCGUGGGUGACGUACCUGCUUGUGGGGAAUAACUGCCCGAAAGGGUGGCUAAUACCGCAUACGCCCGCUGAUUCGGUUUCAGUGGGGAAAGCUUCGCAAGGAGUGCAGAUGGAGCGGCCCGCGUCCGAUUAGCUGGUU